rnacentral:rRNA from 1 species
GACAGAGGUGCCAAGCGUUAGGCGGAAUCACUGGGCUUAAAGCGUGUGUAGGCGGAUGCCUAAGUACCUUGUGAAAUCCCCCGGCUCAACCGGGGAACUGCUGGGUAUACUGGGUGUCUUGGGUCAUCUAGGGGCUGCCGGAACAAAUGGUGGAGCGGUGAAAUGCGUAGAUAUCAUUUGGAACGCCAACUGGCGAAAGCAGGCAGCUGGGGAUGCACCGACGCUGAGACACGAAAGCCAGGGGAGCGAACGGG